UACGUAGGGGGCAAGCGUUGUCCGGAUUUACUGGGCGUAAAGAGCGCGUAGGCGGAGAUCUAAGCGUGGCCUGAAAGCCCCCGGCUCAACCGGGGAGUGCGGCUGCGAACUGGGUUUCUUGAGGACGAUAGAGGAGAGUGGAAUUCCUGGUGUAGCGGUGAAAUGCGUAGAUAUCAGGAGGAACACCCGAGGCGAAGGCGGCUCUCUGGGUCGUACCUGACGUUGAGGCGCGAAAGCGUGGGGAGCGAACGGG
rnacentral:rRNA from 1 species